rnacentral:rRNA from 3 species
AGAAGUCGUAACAAGGUUUCCGUAGGUGAACCUGCGGAAGGAUCAUUGU